CUUAGUUCUUUGCAAAUAUUGAUUGCAUCAAACUCAAAUGCUUUCGCAUCAGAUUAGACAGUCUAGCCGAUGUAUAAAUUCUUUCCUAGUUGUAUUAUUAAUUACGAAGUAAAUUCAAUGAGGGAAAGCAUAGCGAAAUAUCUAAAAACAAACGACUUUGAAAACUGGAAUUAGUAAUUUGGUGAAGGUACAUGAAAUAAAAAUGCCAAUAUUCAGUUCCAUUAAUUUAUUAAGGAGAAUUACACAUUUUUACAACAAAUUAGAUCCGAAACAGAGGAAACUGAUUUCAAUAGGAGUUCAUCUUCUUGUCGGCCUGAUGGUGCGGUGUUGCCAUAUCAUUGAACUCAUAAUCUAACCUAUUUGUACAUACAUUUGCGGAGUCGCAUUGUUAUAUAAAAUUGUGAAGAAAAUUAAUUAACAUAUUUAGAAAUGAACAGCAAGAAUGCCUCCUAAAAAACCGAGGAAUAAAAAAGGCAAGGAGAAGAAUGACAAGGGGAAAGAACAGAGCGAUCAGUACUUCGACGACAUCAUAACUGUAGAUGAAACUAGUACGAAGGACUUUGAAUUUUUAUCAAACGCCCCAGUCUCCGAGGACGAUCAUUUUGUUUUCAAAUCGGAAAAGAACUGGAACAUUGAUACCUCCAAAUUCUCUGAAUUCUUUACCCUUGAUUUGAAAACGUUGUCUGCAGCAAUCGAAUCAAUUCCCUUUAACGAGAACGUUAAUAUCGACAAGAAGUAUUUUACUGACGAUCAAUUGACAAGCAUUUAUAAUACUGCUGAACAAGGAAAAGAAAAGUAUAGCAAAAUAGUAAACAACUCUGAGGCUGUAGUUACUGAUAAAAAGAAUGAAAGCGAGAUACAGGAUUCGAUAGAUGACAUAGACUUCUUAUUGUCGCUUCAAAAGCCUGUAAAUGAGUCUACGGUGACGCUGAAAUCACUACCUAUCUCUUAUUCGCCUGAUUCGCAAAUUGUAAGUAAGCCCAGCACGUCUACCAAACCUCUGGACUUGGAGAAGUGGUUGGACUCUGUGUUGGAUGAUUAAACAAAUAUUUUUAUUGUUAACGAAUUUUUUACAUAAAUAUAUCUAACGUUUAAUGAUAUAAACGUAUGAUACGUUGUUUCAUUGUAAGUCAGACACACUGAACGAGUCAGUAUACUUCAAUCACAUAAAUUGUUAUUUUGGUAGAAAUCACGUUUUUACGAUCACCCUAAAAUCUCAGAGAAACUAAACAUUAAUAGAUUAAUAAAAAUACGGAAACGGUUACUGAGGAUGUAUUAUUCUAAGCAAAUCUUUGGCAAUGUUAAUCGAAAAUGCACGGCUCAGUCUAGACUGUGUUUCGUUAUGGUUUUUAGUCACCGAACUGCAUAUUGAGGGUUUUAAGAAAUUAUAUGUCGCAAUCAUAGGAUGAUUCUACACCCUCGAUUUGGUAAAAAUUGAUCUAAGAUUUCGUAAAAUUGACCUUGAUCUGGAAUUUCAAGGUAUUGAACGAAAUUAACAAUAUGACGACUUCGAAUAACACGCAAGGAUUAUUACAGAGAAAGUUGACCCUACGGUGACCAUCCGUUCUGUAUUUCAGCAGCCAAUCCCCGAAAUUUUUU